UACGAGAGGCCCAAACGUUAUUCGGAAUUACUGGGCUUAAAGAGUUCGUAGGCGGCGCAGAAAGUAGGGUGUGAAAGCCCUCGGCUCAACCGAGGAAUUGCGCUCCAAACUACUGUGCUUGAGGAACCUAGAGGUGAGCAGAACAGAUGGUGGAGCGGUGAAAUGCGUUGAUAUCAUCUGGAAUACCGGAGGCGAAGGCGGCUCACUGGGGGUUUUCUGACGCUGAGGAACGAAAGCCAGGGUAGCGAACGGG
rnacentral:rRNA from 1 species